CCACCCCGUAACGACACCUUCCACCCCGUAACGACACCUUCCACCCCGUAACGACACCUUCCACCCCGUAACGACACCUUCCACCCCGUAACGACACCUUCCACCCCGUAACGACACCUUCCACCCCGUAACGACACCUUCCACCCCGUAACGACACCUUCAACCCCGUAACGACACCUUCAACACCGUAACGACAUCCAUUAUGCUGCUACUGCAGACUGGCCACUCGUGUGUGUGUGUGUGUGUGUGUGUGUGUCAGAGUCUAAAACACAGCUAAAUUACCACCGCUUUCCUCUCAAAUAGAAGCUAUAUUUAGCAUCACGCUGUGCUGCUUAAUCGCUACAGGGGAGAGAGGGAGGGAGAGAGGGAGGGAGAGAGGGAGGGAGAGCAGACUGAGCUACUAGCAGAGAGAGGGAGGGAGAGGGAGGGAGAGCAGGGAGAGAGGGAGGGAGAGCAGACUGAGCUACUAGCAGAGAGAGGGAGGGAGAGAGGGAGGGAGAGCAGACUGAGCUACUAGCAGAGAGAGGGAGGGAGAGCAGACUGUGAGCUACUAGCAGAGAGGGUGGAAGAACGAGGGAGGCAGGGAGGAGAUGGAGGGGGAGAGAAAGGGGGGGUUAACAGAUGGCACUUCUGUGGAUGUCCUCUUAAUAUCACUAAUGGUGACGACACUGAAGCCUUUCACAUAUUCUGCUCACAUUAGCUAAGAUCAAAGUAGAAGAGGCCACACACACACACACACACACACACGCUUCACUGAGAAGUCCCACUCUUUAGUACAAAGUAGACUCUUUGAUUGACUCAAUCUAAACUAAUCACCUACCACAAGCUAAGAGACAAGAUUCUACCAAGAAACUGUAGACACAUUGAGCAGCGAACGACAGGCCUCCUCCUCCGUCGUCAGACCAGGCCUCCUCCUCCGUCGUCAGACCAGGCCUCCUCCUCCGUCGUCAGACCAGGCCUCCUCCUCCGUCGUCAGACCAGGCCUCCUCCUCCGUCGUCAGACCAGGCCGUCGUCAGACCAGGCCGUCGUCAGACCAGGCCGUCGUCAGACCAGGCCGUCGUCAGACCAGGCCGUCGUCAGACCAGGCCUCCUCCUCCGUCGUCAGACCAGGCCGCCUCCUCCGUCGUCAGACCAGGCCGCCUCCUCCGUCGUCAGACCAGGCCGCCUCCUCCGUCGUCAGACCAGGCCGCCUCCUCCGUCGUCAGACCAGGCCGCCUCCUCCGUCGUCAGACCAGGCCGCCUCCUCCGUCGUCAGACCAGGCCGCCUCCUCCGUCGUCAGACCAGGCCUCCUCCUCCGUCGUCAGACCAGGCCUCCUCCUCCGUCGUCAGACCAGGCCUCCUCCUCCGUCGUCAGACCAGGCCUCCUCCUCCGUCAGACCAGGCCUCCUCCUCCGUCAGACCAGGCCUCCUCCGUCGUCAGACCAGGCCUCCUCCGUCGUCAGACCAGGCCUCCUCCGUCGUCAGACCAGGCCUCCUCCGUCGUCAGACCAGGCCUCCUCCGUCGUCAGACCAGGCCUCCUCCGUCGUCAGACCAGGCCUCCUCCUCCGUCAGACCAGGCCACCUCCGUCGUCAGACCAGGCCUCCUCCGUCGUCAGACCAGGCCUCCUCCGUCGUCAGACCAGGCCUCCUCCUCCGUCAGACCAGGCCUCCUCCUCCGUCAGACCAGGCCUCCUCCGUCGUCAGACCAGGCCGUCGUCAGACCAGAACAAUAGUGUUCUGCUAUGCUAAUAGAACAAUAGUGUUCUGCUAUACUAAUAGAACAAUAGUGUUCUGCUAUACUAAUAGAACAAUAGUGUUCUGCUAUACUAAUAGAACAAUAGUGUUCUGCUAUACUAAUAGAACAAUAGUGUUCUACUAUGCUAAUAGAACAAUAGUGUUCUGCUAUACUAAUAGAACAAUAGUGUUCUGCUAUACUAAUAGAACAAUAGUGUUCUGCUAUACUAAUAGAACAAUAGUGUUCUGCUAUACUAAUAGAACAAUAGUGUUCUACUAUACUAAUAGAACAAUAGUGUUCUACUAUACUAAUAGAACAAUAGUGUUCUAUCUUGUGUGUUCUACUAUACUAAUAGAACAAGUGUUCUACUAUACUAAUAGAACAAUAGUGUUCUACUAUACUAAUAGAACAAUAGUGUUCUACUAUAC
ensembl:lncRNA